GACAGAGGGUGCAAACGUUGCUCGGAAUCACUGGGCGUAAAGGGCGUGUAGGCGGGUAGGUAAGUCGGGCGUGAAAUCCCUGAGCUCAACUCAGGAACUGCACUCGAAACUACUUUUCUUGAGUGCCGGAGAGGAAAGCGGAAUUCCUGGUGUAGAGGUGAAAUUCGUAGAUAUCAGGAGGAACACCAGUGGCGAAGGCGGCUUUCUGGACGGUAACUGACGCUGAGACGCGAAAGCGUGGGGAGCAAACAGG
rnacentral:rRNA from 1 species